rnacentral:rRNA from 1 species
UACGGAAGGUGCAAGCGUUGUUCGGAAUGACUGGGCGUAAAGCGCACGUAGGCGGCCCGCUAAGUCGAACGUGAAAUCCCCGAGCUCAACUCGGGAACUGCGUCCGAUACUGGCGGGCUUGAAUCCGGGAGAGGGAUGCGGAAUUCCAGGUGUAGCGGUGAAAUGCGUAGAUAUCUGGAGGAACACCGGUGGCGAAGGCGGCAUCCUGGACCGGCAUUGACGCUGAGGCGCGAAAGCUAGGGGAGCAAACGGG